ensembl:processed_transcript Snhg1 small nucleolar RNA host gene 1
AAGGAUGGGUGUACGCUCUCUUUUCAGAAUGUGGUUCAUCUCAAAGCCCUUUACACUUUGGAGCCAGGCCUGUUCAAUUUUACAAAUAACACGUUUUGCUUGUAGUCAGGGUGCUGUGACAACAUGAAGAGUUCGAGCUACCUCCCAGGAUGAGUGCAGGUUUUCCUGGUGACAAAUCUCAGGCAUUCAAAGGUUAGUUAGAUUAUUUUGGAUGGGGUUUGUUCACUAGGUUUGCUGUUUCUAUGAUGAAUCAAACUAGCUCACUAUGACUGCUAAUGAAAACACAGGAACACCUGAGAAACCAAAGGGUAGUGUGGGGGCAAGGGCCUUAUAUCCAGCCUUUUCAAGGUUUGUUAUUUUUCUCCAGGUUCUGUUAGCAGUGCCAUACUUGUGGGUUUACAGGUGAGUGAUUCCAGUGUGUGGUGUGGUGUAUGUGCAUAGCAUUGGACUGGGGGGGAACCUAACUGAGAACGUGCUUUGUGUA